rnacentral:lncRNA from 1 species
AUCCAGAUCAUAGGCGUGAAGGCCAACAGUUACCAGAAGCUGACUGUGUGAUAGAUGGACCAAACACGUUCGAAGACGACCCGCAGGACACGUUCGAGCAAGGCAAGUGGAUUCUCCCUCUACAUCUCUAUUUGUACCCAAGUAACUCAUAUAAUAAUGUUUACUUUUUGGAUAUUUGCAUAAUUUUAUGGGAUUUGCCUAAAUAGGAUUUUUCCUAGAAUUACUAACCCUAUUCCUUGAUUUACCCUGGGAUAAAUACUAUGCUUAGCAAUUUGUGCUACUACUCAACUUGAUAAUUAUGAUGUCACUCGUUAAUGAUACUAAUGUUCCGGAAAUGAAGUUUAUAUUAUAAUGUUAACCCGAUGGUUAAACAAGACCAUUUCGUAUUAAAUGGAACAUGGAGUGCCCACCCAGGACAACAGUACAACCACGAGUGCUAUAAUGGCUCUGGCUUUGGUAAUUAGUUCUAUAGACUUAGUGCUUAGCAACCCUACCUGAAAGAUGGGCAAGAGGGGCGGCAGUGGUUUGGUGGCAGCUCAUGUUAACAUGGGGUGGUAGUCUUGGCUAAGUUACCUCGCCUAGAGGGCCAUCAAUACUGACGUGGAAACCUUAGCAGGUGGCUUUGUACUAAGGAUAUUUUAUGAAAGCCUUAUAGUGGGUCCCUAGUCAUUCACCUAGGAAGUGUUUACGGGUCCGAUCAACCUAGGCUAGAGGGGAUACACGGCUUGUGGGUAAAGUUGUACCACCUCUGUAGAGUGUAAAACUAAUAUGUGAGCCAUGCUCACGGUUAAGAGCAACCUGGACCCUCACAUGAUACUUAAAGAUGGGAAAUAAAUUGUGAUCCGAUGAUUCAUAAAUGGUUUGCUUAAGUGGUUUCACUUAAAUGUUUUUGAUAUAAUCAUGUACUUAUGUUUAAUUGGGAAUUUUGGGAUACACUUACAAUUAGUAAGUCAGGCGUUGUUAGUAAAAUAUUGAUCAACUAAAAUGCUUACCGCUUAUCCAUAGCCUACCUUGUUAAACUUGCAUUACUCCUCCCACUUGCUGAGCCCCAACCAUAAGUGAGCUCACCCCUUGCUAAUAUUUUGAUCAGAGGGUGAUGAAGAAGACUUUGCAGAUGAUGUCGAUGAGAACUAAGUCUAACGAUGCACCAGUCACCUUCCUAUGGAAGAGUGUCCAUGUUUAAUUCUAUUGUACUUUGAUGAUGAUACUUUUUAAGACACUAUUGUCUAAAUGAUGUAAUAAAGUUACUCUACUCUCUUUACGCCUUUAUUGCAUUGUCUUUUGAUAUAUUACACUUGUGACGUCAACAUAUGUGUGAAAAAUGGAUAUUGGCACACAUAUCCUAUGCAUUCGGUUUGCCCCCAAAACC